rnacentral:misc_RNA from 1 species
UAAUGAUUGACUUUCCAUAACAUUAGAAAACAUAGACUUGUUAGAACACGGUGGCUUACCAGCAAUAAAACAUCUUCUAGAAGGCACCAAACCAUAAAGCAGGUCACAGGACUGCACUAUUCACCUCAAGGUGACAUCAAUGAGAGAAAAUGGAGUGGAAGGUGACAUCAGAUGCGACUACAUGCGUCGAUGAGUGGGACGACAGCAGAAACUGGUAGCAGUGCGUGAUGGUCACUUGACUGGACUUUGCAUGUAGGUUCGAUGGUUAGACAACCUCCUUAGGUGGGCGGUGAGGUUGGAAUGUCACCUUAUGCAGGUGACCCGAGUUUACAGUGGGUUUAUUGAGGAAUAGAGACUCAGGCUUUCAAUCUAAAACAGAGGGGGCUGAGAAAUUUUCCUUUCCAUACAUGGCUCUAAUACCAUGUAGUUUUGGAAGAGGAAAUUUCCAUCAAUCUCCUAGUAUGUAUAUAAUUCUCCCUAAAAUUAUGUUCAUUCUAAAAUUAUGCUGCACAAAAUAAGAAUAUAAAGUUGACUUUUCUAUCUCAUAAUAGGAGAAGAGUAAAAAUAAGUAAAGUCAGUCUUCAUUUUUAUUCUAUAUCUUGUUUCUCAACUCAAAUCAACCAAGUUUUAAUCUCAAAUUAGAUGGGAUCAGCUAAAAAUAUUGCAUGAAUAAAGAUAUAUUUCUAUAUAUAUAAAAUUGAAAAAUGCUAUAAAAUGUUAACCAUAGAAACAAAAAAUCAUAUUAGAGAUGUGCACUAAUAAAUAUUAGAAACUCAUAUAAAUAUCUUUAUUUGGGAGGCUUCAUUUCUCAACUAAAUGUAGUUCAACCUGAGUCCACAUUAACUCAACCCAAAUGUUUCAGGCUGAGCAAAUUGAGCUUUGAUGAUGUUCAGUCCAAUUUAUACUUAUGUAGAUGGAUGGUGAAAAGAAAUUGAAAUGGUAAAAGAAGGGCUAAAAUCUCAUAUGUAGUUAAUUAGUUUGUGCUGAUACCUUUUAUGUUAAUCUUGGCUUAGAUUCCCUUUUAGUCCAGGAAAGUUUACUCAUAUGAAAAAAUGUUAAUUGAUUCAUAUUUGGAUAUUAGUGCUUGAAGAGGCUUUCUUUGUGGAAAUAAUGUGUUUUAGGGGGAGCUUUUAACUGUUUUACAACUCUGGAAAAGUCUCUUGUUGUGGUACUUUUUACAAUCAUGUAAAAUAAUUUCAGAACUCGUGACAAAACCACUCACAAUACAUCAAAUACCUUCAACCUUAUUAUCUAAUUACAAAACCCAGAAGGAAAGAGUUCCUUGCAUCAAGUAGCCUGGAGAAGUUCAUGCAAUAGUGCAAAUCUAUGCAUCUUAACUUAUUUUGAAAAAUUUUGUUUAUGUUGAUCUUGUCUUCUUUUGAUGUUUCUGUCACUCAUGGAUAGAGUCCUUGUAUUCCUUGGUUGGUUCACUAACUUUUGCAACAAAUUUAAAUUACUAUUCUGUUCGCAAAAAAACCAUUUCUUUACAGUUCAGUAUGAUUUAUUAAUGUAUGAUUAAUUGGAUUUAUAAAUUAUCCCUUCAUGCAGCUUGAAUUACAAUAUGCAGCUGAAACAAAUGCCCUGCAGCCUCCUCAUCGAUAUGUGCCUUGGGUAGUGGUGGAUGGGCAACCACUUUAUGAGGUUUGUUUCUUUAAUCAUGUCAAUUAUGUCAAAAGAAAAGUGUUUUGUUUAUCAAUUUUGUACUUUAGCAAUCAAGGUUAGGGUGAUCCAAAUAUAUCAAUGCAACAGAUGAUAUUUUAUCUCCAUUCUUUCUAAGUUGUUGAUUUGAUUUUAUUAAAAAGGUUGAUUGGUGGGAUCUAUUAUCGUUAUUCUUGUGCUGCAGGACUAUGAAAAUUUUAUAAGCUACAUCUGCAAGGCCUACAACGGCACUGCUGUACCCAAAGCUUGCAGCGACGAAUCUCGUAAUGCAAUCCAGAGGGGUAAAGCAAGACCAAAGAUUCCAGUUUGCUAUAAGGAGAGAGAGAUGUCAACUGUAUCGGAACAAAUAAUAUCUGCCAUAUCAUUGUGGAUGAAGCGGACGAUCGGGGAUGCUUCAUUAUAGAUGCUUCUAAAGUCUAAUUACUGGUGCUGGGAUCGAGUGAUUGUUGGUUUCCUAGUCGUUAAAUUUGCUGAAUGCAGUUAAAAAUGUAAUAUAAAAUCUGCUUCUCUGUAGUCUGAGUUAAUAAAUUUCUUUUUAGAAUUCAACAUCAUCUCUAAUUGUGGCUGAAGUUUAUUUCACUAUCCCAAUAAAUGCAGAACUCAACAGCAUGAUACCUUGAGUAAUUCCUGUAAAAUAUUCAAUUAUACAUGAAAUGCACUUGGAGAUGCUUUCCUACCUAAAGCUAGAAUCUUGGGGUGCUUCAAUGCUAUGCGGUGGUGAGUUGUUUAGAGCAGCCUGAUCACCAAGUUUAGAGCAGCACUUCUUUAGAUCGAACAAAUGGUAUUGAAAUUUUUUGCACCAUAAUUAAUUUUUAUCGUGGAUUAUAUUAAUAUAUUGGGUUCAAGGUCAAAGUAAUUAUAACUAGGGUGCAGCUUGGUUUACGACUUGAAAAGCUGAGAUGCAUGGUUCAUUUUUAAGGUGACAGUCGAGCAAAUGUACAGACAUGUGAGUUCUGAAGACUAGUUCUGUAUGUUUCUAGAAUCAGUGUGGACUUAGUAGUUAUUUGGGAGCGGUUAGGGAAUGUGAGUCAGACGUUGAUGAAUAUAAAAGUGCAGCAGUGACAUAAAAGCAG